ACACAUGCAAGUCGAGCGGAUGAAGGGAGCUUGCUCCUGGAUUCAGCGGCGGACGGGUGAGUAAUGCCUAGGAAUCUGCCUGGUAGUGGGGGAUAACGUCCGGAAACGGGCGCUAAUACCGCAUACGUCCUGAGGGAGAAAGUGGGGGAUCUUCGGACCUCACGCUAUCAGAUGAGCCUAGGUCGGAUUAGCUAGUUGGUGGGGUAAAGGCCUACCAAGGCGACGAUCCGUAACUGGUCUGAGAGGAUGAUCAGUCACACUGGAACUGAGACACGGUCCAGACUCCUACGGGAGGCAGCAGUGGGGAAUAUUGGACAAUGGGCGAAAGCCUGAUCCAGCCAUGCCGCGUGUGUGAAGAAGGUCUUCGGAUUGUAAAGCACUUUAAGUUGGGAGGAAGGGCAGUAAGUUAAUACCUUGCUGUUUUGACGUUACCAACAGAAUAAGCACCGGCUAACUUCGUGCCAGCAGCCGCGGUAAUACGAAGGGUGCAAGCGUUAAUCGGAAUUACUGGGCGUAAAGCGCGCGUAGGUGGUUCAGCAAGUUGGAUGUGAAAUCCCCGGGCUCAACCUGGGAACUGCAUCCAAAACUACUGAGCUAGAGUACGGUAGAGGGUGGUGGAAUUUCCUGUGUAGCGGUGAAAUGCGUAGAUAUAGGAAGGAACACCAGUGGCGAAGGCGACCACCUGGACUGAUACUGACACUGAGGUGCGAAAGCGUGGGGAGCAAACAGGAUUAGAUACCCUGGUAGUCCACGCCGUAAACGAUGUCGACUAGCCGUUGGGAUCCUUGAGAUCUUAGUGGCGCAGCUAACGCGAUAAGUCGACCGCCUGGGGAGUACGGCCGCAAGGUUAAAACUCAAAUGAAUUGA
rnacentral:rRNA from 1 species